AGACCGGCGGCGGACGGCCGCCUCGCCAACCCGGUCAGAUCCGGAAGGAAGCAGCCGUAACGAGCGCAGGACGGGUCGCAUGUCCGGCCUCCC
rnacentral:SRP_RNA from 1 species